CUGAGAACUGGCUUAUGUUGCAAGAAUGCAACCAUCUACUUUGUAAAAUGUACAUUAAUCUCAAACAGCCUUUAUUAUGUGAGUAAGGUGUGAUUGUUUUUGUUUAAAUGGAACUUUUUUUUUUUCAGGAGGGAAGUUGCACCUCAGAACAAGAUAAAGAUUUGAUAAUCUAAGCUCCACUGUGACACAUUAGGAGGAGAGGAAGGGGCUGUUUGUUAAACCAGCACUGUUGGAGAGCAAAGCUCUUGGAAGACAGUGAGGAGCAGCAGCACAAGACUACAAAAACUUGGGGUUAGCAAUGCUGAAGUAUGUUGUUCUAUCCCAGGUCCGAGUCCUGUCCAGCACCAGCACCCAAUGCAGAUCUUGGAGAGCAAAUG
rnacentral:lncRNA from 1 species